rnacentral:rRNA from 1 species
GGGCCCGCACAAGCGGUGGAGCAUGUGGUUUAAUUCGAUGAUACGCGAGGAACCUUACCAGGGCUUAAAUGUAGUGGGACAGGUCUAGAGAUAGACCCUUCUUCGGACUCAUUACAAGGUGCUGCAUGGUUGUCGUCAGCUCGUGCCGUGAGGUGUCAGGUUAAGUCCUAUAACGAGCGCAACCCCUAUCGUUAGUUGCCAGCGAGUAAUGUCGGGAACUCUAACGAAACUGCCAGUGCAAACUGUGAGGAAGGUGGGGAUGACGUCAAAUCAUCACGGCCCUUACGUCCUGGGCUACACACGUGCUACAAUGGCCGGUACAGAGAGCAGCCACUUCGCAAGAAGGAGCGAAUCUAUUAAAACCGAUCGUAGUCCGGAUUGCAGUCUGCAACUCGACUGCAUGAAGCUGGAAUCGCUAGUAA